GUCAGGUUCUUAACUUGCUGAACCACAACAGGCACUCCUGUGUGAUACUUUUUAAAAUGACAGUCUGCAGAUUUGGCUGGAACAUCUGUGAGGGAGAGGAUAUAUUAUGAACCCACAGAAAAUUCAAGGCCCAAGCACUGCCAUAAAGUGGAAGUCAUUUGGCCAGAAAUCAACCACAGGAAAAGAAACGAGAAAAAAACCUACUACAUGGAGACUAAACAAC